rnacentral:rRNA from 1 species
UUAAGGGCGCACGGUGGAUGCCUUGGCACUAGAAGCCGAUGAAGGACGUUACUAACGACGAUAUGCUUUGGGGAGCUGUAAGUAAGCUUUGAUCCAGAGAUUUCCGAAUGGGGAAACCCAGCAUGAGUUAUGUCAUGUUAUCGAUAUGUGAAUACAUAGCAUAUCAGAAGGCACACCCGGAGAACUGAAACAUCUUAGUACCCGGAGGAAGAGAAAGAAAAUUCGAUUCCCUUAGUAGCGGCGAGCGAAACGGGAAGAGCCCAAACCAACAAGCUUGCUUGUUGGGGUUGUAGGACACUCUAUACGGAGUUACAAAGGACGACAUUAGACGAAUCAUCUGGAAAGAUGAAUCAAAGAAGGUAAUAAUCCUGUAGUCGAAAAUGUUGUCUCUCUUGAGUGGAUCCUGAGUACGACGGAACACGUGAAAUUCCGUCGGAAUCUGGGAGGACCAUCUCCUAAGGCUAAAUACUCUCUAGUGACCGAUAGUGAACCAGUACCGUGAGGGAAAGGUGAAAAGCACCCCGGAAGGGGAGUGAAAUAGAACCUGAAACCGUGUGCUUACAAGUAGUCAGAGCCCGUUAAUGGGUGAUGGCGUGCCUUUUGUAGAAUGAACCGGCGAGUUACGAUUUGAUGCAAGGUUAAGCAGUAAAUGUGGAGCCGUAGCGAAAGCGAGUCUGAAUAGGGCGUUUAGUAUUUGGUCGUAGACCCGAAACCAGGUGAUCUACCCUUGGUCAGGUUGAAGUUCAGGUAACACUGAAUGGAGGACCGAACCGACUUACGUUGAAAAGUGAGCGGAUGAACUGAGGGUAGCGGAGAAAUUCCAAUCGAACCUGGAGAUAGCUGGUUCUCUCCGAAAUAGCUUUAGGGCUAGCCUCAAGUGAUGAUUAUUGGAGGUAGAGCACUGUUUGGACGAGGGGCCCCUCUCGGGUUACCGAAUUCAGACAAACUCCGAAUGCCAAUUAAUUUAACUUGGAGGGUCAUUGGAAACUGGAAAACUUGAGUGCAGAAGAGGAAAGUGGAAUUCCAUGUGUAGCGGUGAAAUGCGCAGAGAUAUGGAGGAACACCAGUGGCGAAGGCGACUUUCUGGUCUGUAACUGACGCUGAUGUGCGAAAGCGUGGGGAUCAAACAGGAUUAGAUACCCUGGUAGUCCACGCCGUAAACGAUGAGUGCUAAGUGUUAGGGGGUUUCCGCCCCUUAGUGCUGCAGCUAACGCAUUAAGCACUCCGCCUGGGGAGUACGACCGCAAGGUUGAAACUCAAAGGAAUUGACGGGGACCCGCACAAGCGGUGGAGCAUGUGGUUUAAUUCGAAGCAACGCGAAGAACCUUACCAAAUCUUGACAUCCUUUGACAACUCUAGAGAUAGAGCCUUCCCCUUCGGGGGACAAAGUGACAGGUGGUGCAUGGUUGUCGUCAGCUCGUGUCGUGAGAUGUUGGGUUAAGUCCCGCAACGAGCGCAACCCUUAAGCUUAGUUGCCAUCAUUAAGUUGGGCACUCUAAGUUGACUGCCGGUGACAAACCGGAGGAAGGUGGGGAUGACGUCAAAUCAUCAUGCCCCUUGGUCCUAAGCUGAGGCCGACAGGCGUAGGCGAUGGAUAACAGGUUGAUAUUCCUGUACCACCUAUAAUCGUUUUAAUCGAUGGGGGGACGCAGUAGGAUAGGCGAAGCGUGCGAUUGGAUUGCACGUCUAAGCAGUAAGGCUGAGUAUUAGGCAAAUCCGGUACUCGUUAAGGCUGAGCUAUGAUGGGGAGAAGACAUUGAGUCUUCGAGUCGUUGAUUUCACACUGCCGAGAAAAGCCUCUAGAUAGAAAAUAGGUGCCCGUACCGCAAACCGACACAGGUAGUCAAGAUGAGAAUUCUAAGGUGAGCGAGCGAACUCUCGUUAAGGAACUCGGCAAAAUGACCCCGUAACUUCGGGAGAAGGGGUGCUCUUUAGGGUUAACGCCCAGAAGAGCCGCAGUGAAUAGGCCCAAGCGACUGUUUAUCAAAAACACAGGUCUCUGCUAAACCGUAAGGUGAUGUAUAGGGGCUGACGCCUGCCCGGUGCUGGAAGGUUAAGAGGAGUGGUUAGCUUCUGCGAAGCUACGAAUCGAAGCCCCAGUAAACGGCGGCCGUAACUAUAACGGUCCUAAGGUAGCGAAAUUCCUUGUCGGGUAAGUUCCGACCCGCACGAAAGGCGUAACGAUUUGGGCACUGUCUCAACGAGAGACUCGGUGAAAUCAUAGUACCUGUGAAGAUGCAGGUUACCCGCGACAGGACGGAAAGACCCCGUGGAGCUUUACUGUAGCCUGAUAUUGAAAUUCGGCACAGCUUGUACAGGAUAGGUAGGAGCCUUUGAAACGUGAGCGCUAGCUUACGUGGAGGCGCUGGUGGGAUACUACCCUAGCUGUGUUGGCUUUCUAACCCGCACCACUUAUCGUGGUGGGAGACAGUGUCAGGCGGGCAGUUUGACUGGGGCGGUCGCCUCCUAAAAGGUAACGGAGGCGCUCAAAGGUUCCCUCAGAAUGGUUGGAAAUCAUUCAUAGAGUGUAAAGGCAUAAGGGAGCUUGACUGCGAGACCUACAAGUCGAGCAGGGUCGAAAGACGGACUUAGUGAUCCGGUGGUUCCGCAUGGAAGGGCCAUCGCUCAACGGAUAAAAGCUACCCCGGGGAUAACAGGCUUAUCUCCCCCAAGAGUUCACAUCGACGGGGAGGUUUGGCACCUCGAUGUCGGCUCAUCGCAUCCUGGGGCUGUAGUCGGUCCCAAGGGUUGGGCUGUUCGCCCAUUAAAGCGGUACGCGAGCUGGGUUCAGAACGUCGUGAGACAGUUCGGUCCCUAUCCGUCGUGGGCGUAGGAAAUUUGAGAGGAGCUGUCCUUAGUACGAGAGGACCGGGAUGGACAUACCUCUGGUGUACCAGUUGUCGUGCCAACGGCAUAGCUGGGUAGCUAUGUGUGGACGGGAUAAGUGCUGAAAGCAUCUAAACCGUGUGCUUACAAGUAGUCAGAGCCCGUUAAUGGGUGAUGGCGUGCCUUUUGUAGAAUGAACCGGCGAGUUACGAUUUGAUGCAAGGUUAAGCAGUAAAUGUGGAGCCGUAGCGAAAGCGAGUCUGAAUAGGGNNNNNNNNN